rnacentral:tRNA from 1 species
GGCCUUGUGGUGUAAACAUAUUAGAUUGCAAAUCUGAAGACGCAGGCGACCUCCUGCCGGGGCUU